AGCUCAGUUGGUUAGAGCACACGCUUGAUAAGCGUGGGGUCACAAGUUCAAGUCUUGUCAGACCCACCAUGACUUUGACUGGUUGAAGUUAUAGAUAAAAGAUACAUGAUUGAUGAUGUAAGCUGGGGACUUAGCUUAGUUGGUAGAGCGCCUGCUUUGCACGCAGGAGGUCAGGAGUUCGACUCUCCUAGUCUCCACCAGAACUUAAGAUAAGUUCGGAUUACAGAAAUUAGUAAAUAAAGAUUAAGNNNNNNNNNNNNNNNNNNNNNNNNNNNNNNNNNNNNNNNNNNNNNNNNNNNNNNNNNNNNNNNNNNNNNNNNNNNNNNNNNNNNNNNNNNNNNNNNAAGGUUAACCGUAUAGGGGAGCCGUAGAGAAAUCGAGUCUUAAUAGGGCGUUUAGUUGCUGGGUAUAGACCCGAAACCAGGCGAUCUAUCCAUGAGCAGGUUGAAGGUUGGGUAACACUAACUGGAGGACCGAACCCACUGUCGUUGAAAAGCCAGGGGAUGACUUGUGGAUAGGGGUGAAAGGCUAAUCAAGCCUGGUGAUAGCUGGUUCUCCCCGAAAGCUAUUUAGGUAGCGCCUCGGACGAAUACCAUAGGGGGUAGAGCACUGUUUCGGCUAGGGGGUCAUCCCGACUUACCAAACCGAUGCAAACUCCGAAUACCUAUGAGUACUAUCCGGGAGACAGACUGCGGGUGCUAACGUCCGUAGUCAAGAGGAAAACAAUCCAGACCGCCAGCUAAGGCCCCAAAAUCAUAGUUAAGUGGGAAACGAUGUGGGAAGGCAUAGACAGCUAGGAGGUUGGCUUAGAAGCAGCCACCCUUUAAAGAAAGCGUAAUAGCUCACUAGUCGAGUCGGCCUGCGCGGAAGAUGUAACGGGGCUAAAACUAUGUGCCGAAGCUGCGGAUGUAUACUUUGUAUACGUGGUAGGGGAGCGUUCUGUAAGCCGAUGAAGGUGUGUUGAGAAGCAUGCUGGAGGUAUCAGAAGUGCGAAUGCUGACGUGAGUAACGACAAAACGGGUGAAAAACCCGUUCGCCGAAAGACCAAGGGUUCCAGUCCAACGUUAAUCGGGGCUGGGUGAGUCGACCCCUAAGGCGAGGCCGAAAGGCGUAGUCGAUGGGAAAAUGGUUAAUAUUCCAUUACUUCUGUGUAAUGCGAUGAGAGGACGGAGAAGGCUAAAUCAGCCUGGCGUUGGUUGUCCAGGUGAAAGGAUGUAGGCAUGUAUCUUAGGCAAAUCCGGGGUACUCUAUGCUGAGAUCUGAUAGCAAGCUGUACUUGUACAGCGAAGUGGUUGAUGCCAUGCUUCCAGGAAAAGUCUCUAAGCUUCAGUUACACAGGAAUCGUACCCGAAACCGACACAGGUGGUCAGGUCGAGUAGACCAAGGCGCUUGAGAGAACUCUGCUGAAGGAACUAGGCAAAAUGGUACCGUAACUUCGGGAGAAGGUACGCUGUUGUUGGUGAUGGAACUCGCUUCCUGAGCUGACGACAGCCGCAGAAACCAGGCCGCUGCAACUGUUUAUUAAAAACAUAGCACUCUGCAAACACGAAAGUGGACGUAUAGGGUGUGAUGCCUGCCCGGUGCUGGAAGGUUAAUUGAUGGGGUUAGCGUAAGCGAAGCUCUUGAUCGAAGCCCCAGUAAACGGCGGCCGUAACUAUAACGGUCCUAAGGUAGCGAAAUUCCUUGUCGGGUAAGUUCCGACCUGCACGAAUGGCAUAAUGAUGGCGGCGCUGUCUCCAGCAGAGGCUCAGUGAAAUCGAAAUCGCUGUGAAGAUGCAGUGUACCCGCGGCUAGACGGAAAGACCCCGUGAACCUUUACUGCAGCUUGACACUGAACUUUGACCUUACUUGUGUAGGAUAGGUGGGAGGCUUUGAAGCUGGAACGCUAGUUCCAGUGGAGCCGUCCUUGAAAUACCACCCUGGUAAUGUUGAGGUUCUAACUCUGUCCCGUGAUCCGGGACGAGGACCGUGUCUGGUGGGUAGUUUGACUGGGGCGGUCUCCUCCUAAAGAGUAACGGAGGAGUACGAAGGUGCGCUCAGCGUGGUCGGAAAUCACGCGUAGAGUAUAAAGGCAAAAGCGCGCUUAACUGCGAGACCCACAAGUCGAGCAGGUACGAAAGUAGGUCUUAGUGAUCCGGUGGUUCUGUAUGGAAGGGCCAUCGCUCAACGGAUAAAAGGUACUCUGGGGAUAACAGGCUGAUACCGCCCAAGAGUUCAUAUCGACGGCGGUGUUUGGCACCUCGAUGUCGGCUCAUCUCAUCCUGGGGCUGAAGCAGGUCCCAAGGGUAUGGCUGUUCGCCAUUUAAAGAGGUACGCGAGCUGGGUUUAGAACGUCGUGAGACAGUUCGGUCCCUAUCUACCGUGGGCGCUGGAAAUUUGAGAGGAUCUGCUCCUAGUACGAGAGGACCAGAGUGGACGAACCUCUGGUGUACCGGUUGUGACGCCAGUCGCAUCGCCGGGUAGCUAUGUUCGGAAGGGAUAACCGCUGAAAGCAUCUAAGCGGGAAGCCUACCUCAAGAUAAGAUUUCCCUAGGACUUUAUGUCCUCUAAAGAGCCGUUCGAGACUAGGACGUUGAUAGGUUGGAUGUGGAAGCAUAGUGAUAUGUGAAGCUGACCAAUACUAAUUGCUCGUGAGGCUUGACUAU
rnacentral:rRNA from 1 species